CAGUCGCCGCGGUAAUACAGAGGGUGCAAGCGUUAAUCGGAUUUACUGGGCGUAAAGCGUGCGUAGGCGGCUAAUUGAGUCGGAUGUGAAAUCCCCGAGCUUAACUUGGGAAUUGCAUUCGAUACUGGUUAGCUAGAGUGUGGGAGAGGAUGGUAGAAUUCCAGGUGUAGCGGUGAAAUGCGUAGAGAUCUGGAGGAAUACCGAUGGCGAAGGCAGCCAUCUGGCCUAACACUGACGCUGAGGUACGAAAGCAUGGGGAGCAAACAGGAUUAGAUACCCGCGUAGUCCCUGUCUCUUAUAC
rnacentral:rRNA from 1 species